rnacentral:rRNA from 1 species
GAUGAACGCUGGCGGCGCGCCUAACACAUGCAAGUCGAACGAUUAAAGCACCUUCGGGUGUGUAUAAAGUGGCGAACGGCUGAGUAACACGUGGGCAACCUGCCCCUUUCAUUGGGAUAGCCACGGGAAACCGUGGAUAAUACCGAAUACUUCGAGACUUCCGCAUGGAAGACUCGAGAAAGCUCCGGCGGAGAGGGAUGGGCCCGCGGCCUGUUAGCUUGUUGGUGGGGUAACGGCCUACCAAGGCAAUGAUGGGUAGCUGGGUUGAGAGACCGACCAGCCAGAUUGGGACUGAGACACGGCCCAGACUCCUACGGGAGGCAGCAGUGGGGAAUCUUGCACAAUGGGCGAAAGCCUGAUGCAGCGACGCCGCGUGCGGGAUGAAGGCCUUCAGGUUGUAAACCGCUUUCAGCAGGGACGAGGCGAAAGUGACGGUACCUGCAGAAGAAGCCCCGGCUAACUACGUG